rnacentral:misc_RNA from 1 species
AAAUGCGAUAAGUAAUGCGAAUUGCAGAAUUCAGUGAAUCAUCGAAUCUUUGAACGCACAUUGCGCCCCCCAGUACUCUGGGAGGCACGCCUGUCUGAGCGUCAUUUCACCACUCAAGCCUGGCUUGGUAUUGAGCGCCGCGGCCUGCCCGCGCGCUCCAAUGUCUCCGGCUGAGCCGUCCGUCUCUAAGCGUUGUGAAUAGCGAUCGCUUGCGAGGCCCGGGCGGUUCGACGCCGUUAAACCCCCCAUUUUCUAUGGUUGACCUCGGAUCAGGUAGGGAUACCCGCUGAACUUAAGC